rnacentral:ribozyme from 1 species
CUAUUUUUUUCAAUAGUCUUUUUUUUUGCUCUUUUUUUUACCUUCAUUUUAAAUGAAUGUGUUGAAAUUUAAUA